CCCCCUGUGGCUCAGUUGGUAGAGCAUGGUGUUUGCAACGCCAGGGUUGUGGGUUCGAUUCCCAUGGGGGA
rnacentral:tRNA from 1 species